GACGUAGGGCGCGAGCGUUGUCCGGAUUUAUUGGGCGUAAAGAGCUCGUAGGCGGCUUGUCGCGUCGUGUGUGAAAUCUCAGGGCUCAACUCUGACAUUGCAUACGAUACGGGCAGGCUUGAGUUCGGGUAGGGGAGACUGGAAUUCCUGGUGUAGCGGUGAAAUGCGCAGAUAUCAGGAGGAACACCGGUGGCGAAGGCGGGUCUCUGGGCCGAUACUGACGCUGAGGAGCGAAAGCGUGGGGGAGCGAACAGG
rnacentral:rRNA from 1 species